CUAAUUUAUAAGUACUAAUGAAAAAUCAAGUUUUUCAUAGUCUAUGCUUGAGAAAAGUGGUGUUGGUUAGAACUGGAAUUCAUAUCUUGAAUGUGUGUCUGCCACAGGUCAUCUUGUUCCCAAUCAACCUCCCAGAGUGGGUGACUUGAAAUCCACUUGGUUUUUAAGGAAUUUAAGGAAAGCAUUGCUUGGCAAACCAGCUGUGGUGACAGUGGAUUAGGUUAGAGGAACCAUGGGUUCAAAGGUAUGAUGUCCCAGUCACCGUGGCCUGAGCAAGCUGAACUAAUACCAGCCCUGACAAGGAUGAUACCUGGACUGAGCCUAGGCCCACUGAUAGCAGUCCUCGGGGCAGCUGCUUUCUUGUUUCAAGGGCCACUUAAUAGUCUACACUUUUCAUGUGGUGGGCUACCCUAAGAAACCCUCCUUCCCUUCUCACCUAGUGCCCUUAGCUCCUUGGGGCCCAGCUUGGCCUGGUUCUGUCUUCCCCUUCAGUCUGCAGGACUCUUGGCCAUUUUCCACCUUGUGGGAAUCACUGUGUGAUCCACCCCAAGAUGUAUUUCAGUCUGGUAGGAAGAGUGAUGGGUUGUCCUUGAAUAAACCUUUCCAUGGAGACUAGGUCCCAGUAAUGUGCCCAGUAGUUGUCUCUAAAAGGCAGUGCUUGCAGUGCCUGCCUUGGAAUUACCAGCUGCAGAACCUAAAGGCCAUUUCGAGGUUUCCCCAUAAAAGUAUGCUUUUUCUGCUUAGCAAGGGGAGGCACAGGAUCCUUGCAGGACAGAAGAUGAAAAAGUUAAGCUUGCCACACUGAUCUUCAGUGGCUUCUUAGCAACAAAGCUAGCAGUCAGAUCAGGAGGCUUUUCCUAUUCACUCAGGAGAUGAGGACUUGCAUGGGCCUUGAGGCGGGUGUGGAUGGCCUUUCUUGGUGGUCAUUAAUAAUAAGAAGGGAUUUGGGCUUGUGUGCUCUGCAAGGAUUCCGCUCAUUAAGUAGUCUCAAGAAUUUCACAGAAGUUACAAGCCUAAAUUUUAUUGGGGUCUGCUUUCUAUCCACAAGUACAAACAUGUUUGAUGCCCCAAUUGCUUAUAUCAUAGAUGGUAUGGAGCCAAAGCAUACAAAGAUUAGUACUACUGCUUUUAAAUGCCAGUUUUUUUUUUUUUUCCCCAUUUUAAGUACAGUGAUCUGCUUAACUCCUCUUAGAAUGAAACACUGUUUUCUAUGCAGGCUGGUCUGAGUAAAUCAAAGGGGUCAAUCCUAUUGGUAUUGAGUGCUGUUCGAACCCAAUAGCUCUAACUGGGAUACCCAACCUCCCACCUCCUCUAACAGGUCUUUAUAUACUAUAUUCAGUUGGAUUUAUUCAUAUUCAGGCCUGUCCCUCAUUUUUACCUGGUACCUGGUACCUAGUCCCUUCCUUCAAAACUGGCAGGAGAUCAGAAGAUUAAUGAUUCCCCCUCCUUGAAGACUGUUUUUCUCUCUCAAAAUACUGGAUGGUACUUCAUCCUGGGACCCUGCUCAGGCAGUUGACAGAAACACAAGUCUUGGGACUCUAGAUUCUGGAUUUUUCCUCUUCUCUUUUUUAUACAUAUUUUUCACAGAGCUAAAUUUUUGCAGCCUCAGGAGUACUUCCUUAUACUGAUGCUCCUUUAAGUGUGUCUCCUGGGCUCAGUGGACAUCAAAGCUGAGCUUGGCCAAAGCCUGCAAGGGCAGGUUUUAGCAACAUUAAUUAAUCAGAAAGCAAACUUUUAGUUUUACUGCAUGGAUAUAUUUAAUUGCAAAUGACAAGUUUGUUUCUGGGGUUCUCUUAUAUUGGUAGCAGAUUGCAGGUCACAUUUACAUUUUCUAUAUCAUGUAUAGUUUAAUGCAUAAAUUUAAGGCAAUAAAUAUAUAAAUAUCUAUUGUUACAGAAAUAUUAUAUUUUUGUAAUAUAUAAAUAUAAAUAUUUUAUCUCAAAUAUUUCUGAAAAAUCAGAUCUAUCAUAGUCAUAAAGUAUCCCUAAUGGGAUAGCUAGAUGGUAUACUGGAUAAAGCAUUUGCCCUAGAGUCAGCAAGACCUAGUUCAAAUCCAGUCUCAGACACUUGACACUAGCUGUGUAAUUCUGGACAAGUCACUUAAUACUAGUUACUUCAGGGGAAAAAAAAAAAAAGAGGAAAAGAACUAACAUAUAGUUAUAUAUGAUAUAUAUAUAUAUAUAUAUAUGUUAUAUAUAUAUUCAAGAGUAAGGGUCUUAACUUAGAGUCCAUGAACUUAAGUUUGGGGGGAAAAAUAUAUUUUGAUAACUGUUUUUGUUUAGUCGCUUUCCUGACUCCUUUGGGAAUUUUCUUGGCAAAGAUAUGGUUUGCUAUUUCCUUCUCCAACUCAUUUUGCAGCUGAGAAAACAGGCAGAGAAGGUUAAGUGACUUGUCCAGGGUCACUCAGCUAGUAAGUAUUCAAGGUCAGAUUUGAAUUUUCAUCUUUCUGACUCCAGGCCUGGAGUUGUAUCCACUAUGUCACCUAGCUGCUUGUAUUUCCAUGUAAUUAGUUUCCUUUGUAAUCCCAUGUACUUUUUUUUUCUUUGAAAAGCAUUCUUCUGAGAAAUCUAUAGAUUUCAUCAGACAAUGUCAAAGGGAAACAUCAUUAAAAAAAAAAAAAAAGGGUCCUUAAUCCCUAGUAAGAAUCUAGUAAGUGAAUGUUCCUCAUAUACUUUGGUGAGUCAUAUGAAAUUAGAUUGCUUUUUACAAUUGUCCAUAAUUAUUCAUAGUUCCAAAAAUAAAUAGGAGGUAGUGAUGGAUUUACCACAGGCUAAAAUAUUGACAUUCAGAAGAGGAAAGAUAAUUGAUUCUAUAUCCUGUACAGAGUGAUACAUUAGUAAAUUCAUUAUUUAUGUGCUGCAAAAACAAUGUUUUCAGAAUUAUAUUUUAAAUAUUCGCUAUUUUUGUGAAUGGCACUGUUUUCAAGAUAUGCUCACUAGUUUCCAAUCUUCUCCCUUUUAAUUCUAGUGGGAAGGGGAAGGGAAUAGUUAUCUUAGUACUUUAAUAUAUUGAAGGGAAUUGUCCAAAAAAUUUAUAUUUAAAUAUGUAAGUUUCUAAAAAUGUAUAUAGUCUUUUAAAAUAAAACCCAAUAAUCUGAAACUAGGUCAAUUUUCUAAUUAUUGUGGCUUAUAUUUCAUAAGUUAAAGUCCAAAAAUUUUUUCUUAUUUCCACACACAUUCCUACAGAUCAUGGCAUUUUUUUUUUCCCUCACAGAAAAACUGAUUAUCAGACAUUUAACAUUAAACAUUCAGGGUUACUUAAAGUGUUUAACUCAAGUUGUUUUUUUUUUUUUCCUUGUCAUAUGAAGGAUCCAAAUAUUUAAACAUUUUCAGAAAAACCAACAUGUUUUAAAUUCAUUUUCCCCCUUUAUUUAGUAUAUAGACUCAAACAUUGUUUUGUUUUUCCUGAAGAUUGCUUUUCUUUUCAUUUAAAAGUAUAACCCUAACAUUACAAAUCACAGCUUUCAAGAUUUUUUUCAAACAACAUUUGCAGUUUACAUACUUGGAGGUAUUAAGAAAAAAAAACCCAUGAAAAACUUAAAGCAACCAAGCACAGUCUUUUCCAAACACCAAACAUACUUUGAUCAGUAAGAAGGGGUUAGGUUAAUAGCUUUUAGUUUCAAUAAAAAAUAAUCUUAUACACAUUUUUGCCUCAUAAAACAGCUCACAGUGAAUUAGCAAAACACAACCUCCCUUUCUGGUAUUCAGCUUAUUCUAGGACUGAUUAUAAACAUCCAAAAUCUUAAUUCUCUAGCAAUCCAUAGUAAUUUCCUUAUGAAAUAAUUUAAUCAAAUAUUCUUCCCAUUCCUUAGAAAUAAAUUUCAACUGUUCAUUUUCCUUGAGGUCAUUUCCCCACUCUUCAGACUUGCUUUAUUUAUUUCUUCUUUUUCUUUUGCUUGGUCAGCUCCUCUAAAAGAGAAAAAUCACACAA
rnacentral:lncRNA from 1 species